AUUGAACGCUAGCGGCAUGCUUUACAUAUGCAAGUCGAACGAGUGGCGGACGGGUGAGUAAUAUAGCGGAACGUGCCCAGUAGCGCGGGAUAACUAAUCGAAAGAGUGGCUAAUACUGCAUACUAUUGGCGCGGACGACAGCGGAUUAGCUAGCUGGUGGGGUAAAGGCACAUCAAGGCAACGAUCCGUAGCUGGUCUGAGAGGCAGACCAGCCACACUGGGACUGAGACACGGCCCAGACUCCUACGUGAGGCAGCAGUGGGGAAUUUUGGACAAUGGGGGAAACUCUGAUCCAGCCAUGCCGCGUGUAUGAGAAGGCCUUCGGGUUGUAAAGUACUUUUGGCAGAGAAGCGGUAUCUGCAGAAUAAGCAACGGCUAACUACGUGCCAGCCGCCGCGGUAAUUC
rnacentral:rRNA from 1 species